rnacentral:misc_RNA from 1 species
AGUAGACAUACUUAUCUUAAUAACUUAGUUUAAUAAUAACUGUCAUACGUUUUCGAUUUUUUUAGAUCAACUCGUAAAACCGUCAUUUCCUUUGUUCGAUUCAUUGUUUCUGAUUGGUUGAAACAUCAUUGGCGGUGUAGAUCGACAUGUAAGAGGUGUUUAGAAGUAAAUUUAAGUGAAUCUAGCUGUAUAGUAAUAUGAAUAAAAUCUUUAUUAAAACUAAAAUUUAUUAGUAAAAAUUGUAAUUAAUAAGGAAUUAUGUGGUAUUCAAAAACUUUCUCCUCAUCAGCUACAAUAUUCAUUUGUCUACAUUUCUGUUAUAGCAAGGAAUCUUCGUCAAAAGAAAUUCCACGAAUUGAUGAGCAUGAUCCAUGUUUAUACGUAAAUAAUCAAAUAGGUGGUAUUGACUUCGAUUUUACAAAUUUAUCAAAUGUAGAGCAUGUAAUUCGCCUGAAAAAUUCUAAAGAAAAAAUCAGUUUACAAUUGUGUAAAGAACCUUUGAAAAACUUAUGCAAUAAUAGACAUGCUUACGUUUGUUUUCAUCGAGGAAAUAAAGAAAUAGUUUUAGGAAAUAAACCUCAGUACAAUGAUAUCGAUGGUAAAAUGACUUUUAAUUAUAUCGGCGAAAGCUGUAAAAAUGAUAAACCUUAUACGCUUAAUAUUGUGAUGAUAUGCGAUUUUAAAAAAACUAAUUCAGAACCCGAAAUUCAUUUCCAUUCGGACGACCAAUGUGCAAUUGAAAUGAUUUGGAGAACAAUUUCAGCAUGUGGUGUGCCUCCAAUGGAAAAACCCUUCAUUGACUGUACUGUUACUGAUGAUGCUGGAAAUUUUUAUGAUUUAAGCAGUUUAACGAAAUAUUCUGAUAAUUACAUAGUUCCCAUCGAUGAAAAUACUUCAAUUAUUCUAAAUGUUUGUCAUCCAAUAGUUUAUGGUAACGGAGCAGUUUGCCGAUAUUCAUCAAGUGUAUGUUUAAGACAUUCACUCAAUAUGAGCUAUGUUAAUCUUGGCGACGUAAGUUCACCAACUAUAAACAAAAAUAAAAUUCAAUUGAACAAUACGAAUGGAAAUUUGUGUCGAGGGCAAGCGGCUUUUACUUUAAUAUCAUUCAUCUGCGAUGAAGAAUCAGGCGAUAAUACCAUUGAACUUACUGGGGUUGAAAGAAAUUGUCGAUAUAAUUUAUUAUGGAAAACUAAUGUCGUGUGUAGAAAAAAACCUAGAUUUAAAAUGGAAGAUAAGUGUAUAGCUUUUGAUCCGGUUACUAAAAUGAAAUAUGAUUUAAAAUCGUUAAUGAUAAAAGACCAAAUUUUGGAAAGUUCUGGAGGAAUCCAUUAUAAGUUAAGAGUUUGUGCACCCUUACUAAAUAAUUCUUGCCAAUCAGAUGUGCUUAAAGCAGAUGCAGGUGUUUGUUCAGCUCAGAACUUAAUUAUUGGUGGAAAAGCUAAUUCGAACUUUUUCUGGUCAGCUCACGGUCCAUAUCUCAAUUACACAGAUGGAUCGCCUUGUGGAAAUCAGAAUCGUCGCUACACAUUGAUUCAUUUUAGCUGUGAACGUGAUAAAUCGAAAAACGUGCCAACAAUUGUUGAAGAUAAAGCAUGCCACCUUAUUAUUCAAUGGAAUACGUCACUCGUUUGUAAUGACAAAUCGAUAAAAUAUUUGCUACCUGAAGAACAAACAGAAAUACCUAAAACUAAAUUCUCUGAAUUAGAUCGAAACAAAAAAAAAAUAAUCAAUGAAUCUAUAUCCUCUACAUCUACUAUUCCACUUGAAAGUUCAAAAGCACCUGAUAUAAUUGAUGAGUCUAAUGAAACGGUUUAUGUUUCCGUAGUAACAAUUAGUGUCUUACUUGCUAUAUGUGGAUCAUUUGUGGUACUUUACUUACUAAAUUCACGAGUGAGAGGAUGUAUUAAUUCUUCGUGUUGUUCACGAUGGUUUAAAAAAUCGAACAUUCGUAUGCAGUAUUCUAAGGUGGUAACACUAAGAGAAGAUAAUGGUUCUCUAUAUAAUUUAAAUAAACUUGCAUAGGAAUGAUUUACUAUUCGAUCAUUAACACAAUUCAUUAAUAUUUUUUGCAAGCAUGGGGUUGGUUGAAGACAUCUUUUGAUUUGUGAUUAUUAUUCUUUAAAGUAUCUUUUUUAUUGCAUUUUGGUCUGAAUAACAUUAACCAUUUUUGAGUUUUAUGCAAUUUUAUAAUUAUCAUAUGAAUUAUUUAAGUAGUCAGC